UUGCUAAAAAGCAUUGCCUACUCUAACUUAGAAAAAAGACUACAUGUCUACUAAUCAUUUCUACUUAGAUCUUGGAAUGCUUCACAGCCCUAAAAUAGCUACAUUUCACAAAGUAUUACAAAGAAUAAAUGAGUUCUAGCUUGCAAGCAGGAAAAAUAGUUCAUAAAUUCAAGGUUUUCCAGGGUUGGGAAACCGAACUGCUUUUAACAAUUGAACUAAAAAGACUUUGCCAAUGCACAGUAAGAAAAACUUUCCAGUUGAAUAAAGUGACUCAAGGCAAGAUCAGAGUAGGGGUGUGGCUUGACCCCAAUUGUUCAAACUCCCAGUGGUAGCCAACAUUAAGUUGAGUGGGAAAAAGGCAUGAAGGUGAGAUAGUAGCUAUGUAAAAUGAAUUUGAAUAUUAUUUUUAGGAAGUAAUUUUAGGUAUAAUUAUAGCUACAUGAAAUUGACUGAAUCAAGUAGGUCAGACAUCUACAAAGUUUUUGACAGAAUUGUAUUGUCAAAGAAAUGACAGGUGCAUUCUUGAAAAAGUCUUUAUUUUUAGAAUUCAAAUCUUAACAUCAAUUUUCAUAUUUCCACAUAUAGAAAGGAGCUUCACAAUGUCUCAGCCAUGAAGGUAUGCUCUCCAAACCAUUUUCAGAUAUGGCUAAGGAGAAUAAUGAAAAGAAAGAGGCUCCAAGAAGUCAUAUCCAGGGGCCACAGAGAAGAAAAUGACAAAGCAUUUCCUCCCAGAGAGUAGAAUCCCUACCUCCACCUCUGGCGAGAGAGUAUCACAAUGUCUGUGCAGUGGUAUUUCAGAAUCACUAAUGAACAUUGACUACCACGUAUCUCUUAUUCUUCCUAUUUCUAAUUCAUAAUGUUCAUUGUAGACAUCUGGUAUUUGGGUGUGAGGUAGGGAUGCAGAUAAUUUGUCUUUUUGGUUCAUAGGCCACCUGACCAUGAGGAACCUCAUGGAUAGGACAGAUCUCCAUUAGAUGGAUGCAGUGAAUGGAAAAGCACUGAAUUAUUUUCUUUAGGAAGGGAACAGAUGUGAAUUUGUUUGAUAUAUAAGAGGAAGAAUGAGGGAGAUAUUUUGUUGAACACUUUGGAUGGUAGCUGAGACAGUAUAUGUUCAACACACAGUUUUCUCUUCCUGAGCAUGUAAGACAAUGAUGUUACUAUUCCUUUAAAUUAUAUUGGGGGUCAUUGACUUUGUUCAGGUCACUAGAAUAUAAGCAGAAAUAAUGUAAAAUACUUUUAUACCCAGCUCUUAAAACAAUAUGCAUAAUUCUCUAUUACUGUCUUCCCCUUCAGUGUUAACUUUGUACAUUUCUUCAGAUGUACUCAAAGAUAGAAGCUUCUUUGGUCCCUGAGUCACCACUUGGAGGGGAGUUGCUCAGAAGAGCUGCCUGACCUGUACUGGACAGUGACCUGAAUGAAAAAUAAACAGAGAUUCCAAGAUCUGUUUGUUACUACAGUAUAGCUACGUCUACCCUGCCUGAAACAGAUAUCCUAAGGACAUCAUAGACUAUGCCAGUUUCUUCUCUAUAGUUUUUGGAAUAGCCAGAGAAGGGCAUGUGAAUAAUGCAACAAUCAGAAUGAAUGACACAGGAACAAAAUUAAUUCUACAAUGACUGAGGAACUACCUGUGCAGGUCUGUAUGAAAAUGCGCUGAGAUAUAUUUUGGAGUUUUUGCCUAACAUCGCCUUCACUGUUAAAGAUCACAAUUUUUAUUUUUAGUGGAUGAUGGUAGGUAUCAAACUGCUAUUAUAUUUAGAUUCUAAUAGAUGCAA